CAUAUCACGUUGAAACAUUGAUUCCCGUAAGAUCAUCGAAGUUAAGCAAUGUCGAGCCUGGUUAGUAUUUAGAUAGGUUAUCGCUUGGGAAUACCAGGUGCCGUAAU